AAGCUGAAAGGGUUAUAAAGUAGCCAUUGCUGGAAAAGCUCCAGUGAGGGAGAACUUGUUUCCUCCAAAGGCAGUCCAUUCAUUCUAUUUUGAUAUAGCUUUGAUUGUUUGAUUGUUGUUUUCCUGUAAUCAAAUCUAAAUUUGCCACUUUGCAACUCCUCCCCAUUGGUCCUAAUUCUGCCCCCGGGGCCAAAAAGAAGUCUAAUUCUGCUUCCGGUUAAUCAUCUUUCACAUAAUUGAAGACAGCUAGCAUGAUGUGGAAUGGUUCUAUAGGAAGGUACCCAAGGGACAGAAGAGUUCAUUUUGGAUUCCAGCCUUGUGCUAACAACGAGGAGAAACAGUUGGAAGAAGGGGAUCAGAUCAACUGAAGUCUGAAGUCUUUGGCUUUGAAGACAGAAAAGUCAGGACUCUCUUGGCUUUGGUGACAGAAAGAAGUCUGUUAUAUCUUUAGCCUUGAAGACAGAAAGGAGAAGGGUCUCUUGGCUUGGAGACAGAAGAAAGAAGGACAAAGUCCACUCUCUCUGAUUUGCUCUGUUGUGAUACAGUGACUGAACUUCCAGACCUAUCACCCCAUUUUUCCAAACUGAAGCAUAUUCCACCAUCCUCCAACCUAAGACUUAUUCUAGUAUUAGGGAAACCCCUAACCCUCUUUCCCUCCAUUUCUUAUCUUUCCUUUCUUCCCAAUAAACCCCUUAUUUAAUUUAGAGAAGAGAAAGAGUGUUUUAUUUGAGACAUCAUCAGAAAGGGGAGGGAAGAAGGGAGGAAGGGAGGAAGGAAGAAGAUUAACAGCCCUGAUCUUUAGUUACCAUUUACCAUUCAAAUAAUCCCUUAUUACAAUUUGGCACCCAGACUGACUGAAUUCACAAUCCUGAAGGCAAAGAUGUUUAAGCAAGUGAUCUGUGGGGUGGUAUUUUUGGCAGCUAUUGCAGGAUACUGGAUUUACAAUAUCCUGUAUAAUACAAUGACAAAUAUGAAUGUUGAUUCUAUGGAAUAUAUAACUAAUACCACGAUGUUCAUACUAAAUAUACCAUUUCAAAAAGAGACAAUACUCUGGCAAAUACUGACACAGAUCUACAUCAUUUCAAUGGCUGCAAUACAAACUAUGACCUACCUUAAAACAUUUACAGAUGUGUAAUUCCUAAAACUACAGCACAGAUCAUGGUAUGUUUGGAGUUUGGAGACACUAGUUAAGAACAUGUUUGAGGAAUUCUUAAAGUCAAAAGGGCUAGAUCAGAUAAAGGAUAAGGGAAAUGGUCAGGCAGACAAUGUACCUAAAGGUGCAAAGAAUGAAGAAAGAAAGGCCAAGAAAACAAUGUCUGGUGCACAGGGCAAUGACAAUGACAAGGACACCAAGGCAAAUAAUGAGGCUGAGAAAAUCUUUCCACUUAAAGACAUUACCAAGGUAUCUAAUACAGCUGGUGUGUUGCACGCCAAGGUUCAUAGGCAAUUUACUACUCAGGAAUUAGAUUCCAUGAAGAAAAGGUUCCUAAAAUUUAUCAACGAGUUCCAUA